UCAAUAUUUGCUAAUAUAUUUUUUUUUUGCAGAAGAGAAACACUACGCUUCCCAAGAAAUCGCCAGACAUGUCGAAGACUUAGAGAAUCUGUGGAGAGAAUUACAGGCCGCGGCUAAGUUGCGCCGCGAGCGGCUGCAGGAGGCGUACCAGGCGCGUGUCUACCUCCGUGGUCUGGACGACUUUACCGCCUGGCUGGAUGAUGUCGAGGCACAACUACUCAGCGAGGACCAUGGCAAGGACCUGACGUCGGUGACGGCGCUGCUGAAGCGGCACUCGCGGCUGGAGCAGCA